AAAAUAAUUGGGAGAGGGAUACAGCAAGGAAAAAGGGGGUUGGGAGGGAACGGGGAAGUACAGCAAAAUUUCCUGGCAUACAUUCAUACAAUUCCCACAUGAUAUGGUGAUAUACUUACGUGCCCGUACAAAACACUUAAGGGGAGCAAUUCUAAAUGUGCGUACAGUGUGUAACAGCGAGCCUGUUAACCUCAACCUUUUGUGGUGACAGGGCCGAGUAACUUAGAAACAUGGAAUGUGACGGCAGAUAAGAAGCAUUCGGCCCAUCUAGUCUGCCCAAUUUUUAAAAUAUUUUUAUUAGUCCCUGGCCUCAUCUUAUAGUUAGGAUAGCCUUAUGCCUAUCCCACGCAUGCUUAAACUCCUUUACUGUGUUAACCUCUACCACUUCAGCUGGAAGGCUAUUCCAUGCAUCCACUACCCUCUCAGUAAAGUAAUACUCCUCUUGUUGUGGUAGUUUUUCUUCUUUUACAUAUAAUCUCCUACUUUACUGUGUUGAUUCCUUUUAUGUAUUUAAAUGUUUCUACCAUAUCCCCCCUGUCUCGUCUUUCCUCCAAGCUAUACAUGUUAAGUUCCUUUAACCUUUCCUUGUAAGUUUUAUCCUGCAAUCCAUGAACCAGUUUAGUAGCCCUUCUCUGUGAACUCUCUCUAAAGUAUCAAUAUCCUUCUGGAGAUACGGUCUCCAGUACUGCAUACAAUACUCCAAGUGAGGUCUCACCAGUGUUCUGUACAAUGGCAUGAGCACUUCCAUCUUUCUACUGCUAAUACCUUUCCAUAUACAACCAAGCAUUCUGCUAGCAUUUCCAGCUGCUCUAUUACAUUGUCUGCCUACCUUAAAGUCCUCAGAAAUAAUUACCGCUAAAUCCUUUUCCUCAUAUGUUGAGGUUAGGACUCUAUCAGAUAUUCUGUACUCUGCCCUUGGAUUUUUACGUCGAAGAUGCAUUAUCUUGCACUUAUCCACAUUAAAUGUCAGUUGCCACAACUCUGACUAUUUUUCUAGUUUACAUAAAUCAUUUGCCAUUUGGCUUAUCCCUCCUGGAACAUCAACCCUGUUACAUAUUUUUGUAUCAUCAGCAAAAAGACAUACCUUACCAUCAAGACCUUCUGCAAUAUCUCUAAUAAAAAUAUUAAAGAGAAUGGGUCCAAGUAGAGAUGCCUGAGGUACCCCACUGGUGACAAGCCCAAGCUUCGAAUAUAUUCCAUUAACUACAAGCCUCUGUUGCCUGUCACUCAGCCACUGCCUUACCCAUUCAACAACAUUGGAAUUCAAACUUAACGAUUGCAGUUUAUUGAUAAGCCUUCUAUGUGCAACAGUGUCAAAAGCCUUACUGAAAUCUAGGUAAGCAAUAUAUACUGUACCACCCUGAUCUAUUAUUUUAGUUACCCAAUCAAAAAAAUCAAUAAGAUUAGUUUGGCAUGAUCUCCCUGAAGUAAACCCAUGUUGUCUCUGAUCUUGAAAUCCAUGUGAUUUUAGAUGUUCAACAAUCCUAUCCUUUAACAUGGUUUCCAUUACUUUCCCCACUACUGAAGUAAGGCUUACUGGCCAAUAGCUGCCCGACUCCUCUCUACUACCUUUCUUGUGAAUGGGCACAACAUUCGCUAACUAACCAAUCUUCUGGGACUACUCCUGUUAACAAUGAUUGGUUGAAUAAAUCUGUUAAUGGUUUUGCUAGUACACCACUAAGCUCUUUUAAUAACUUUGGCUGUAUUCCAUCAGACUUAUUUGUCUAUACUUUUGACAGUUGAAAUAGAACCUCUUCUUCUGUAAACUCACAUGUAAUAAAUGACCCAUUUGUCCUUUUUCAUAAAUGUGGCCCCUUUCCUUCAUUUUCAUCUGUACAUACUGAACAAACAUAUUCAUUGAGGCAGUCAGCUAGACCUUUAUCCUCUUCUAUAUACCUUCCUUCUUUUGUUUUUAAUCUAACUAAUCCUUGCUUUACUUUUCUUUUCUCAUUGAUGUAUCUAAAAAAUGUUUUGUCCAAUUUGUUUUACUGACUGUGCUAUUUUCUCUUCUGUGUGUGAUUUGAAAGCUCUUAUAACUUGCUCUUUCUGUCUAAUCUUAUAGAUCUGUCUUCCUCAUUUUUUAUAAUUACUAAAUGCUAACUUUUUGUUUUGUACUAUUUUGGCCACAUCUGCGGAGUACCACAGUGGUUACUUGAAUUCUUUUUUUUUUUUUUUACUGACCAGUCUAAUGCAAUUUUCUGUUGCCUUCAGCAGUGAAACUUUUAAAUAAUACCAUUUCUCUUGGACUCCAUUUUAAUUGCUCCAGUCUGACAAUGACUCCUUUACACAUAUUCUAAUUUUAGAAAAGUCUGUUUUUCUAAAGUCUAAAACUUUUGUUUUUGUGUGGUGUGACUCCGUCACUGUUCUUAUAUUAAACCACACUGACUGAUGAUCACUGGAUCCUAAACUUUCACCUACAGUAAUAUCUGAUACCAAAUCUCUAUUUGUUAAAACUAAAUCUAGUAUGGCCUCUUUACAAGUUGGCUCCUCAACGACUUGUUUUAGAGACAAUCCCAGUAGGGAGUUUAGAAUAUGUGUGCUCCUGGUACAAACUGCUAUUUUGGUUUUCCAGUUCACAUCAGGAAGACUGAUGAUAACUUCCCCCUUCAUUGUCAUUUUAGCUAUUUCCUCAACUAGUAGAUUAUCUAAGUCUUCUAUUUGUCCUGGGGGCCUAUAAAUCACACCUACACGAGUAACCCAAACGGACUCUAUGUUCGCCUCACUAACUUUUAUUAGGCUAGAUUUUAUGCUAUCCUUCACAUACAGGGCCACACCUCCCCCUUUCUUGCCUUCCCUGUCUUUUCUAUAUAAAGAGUACCCUGG
rnacentral:lncRNA from 1 species